UGGUAGCCGAGAGUUUUGCAUCCU
rnacentral:piRNA from 1 species